AUGGCCGCCCUGCCUCCUCCCUUCUCAAGGCUGCGUCUGCGCGCUCGCACCGCCGUGGCCAUGGAUCCGCGGAUCCCGCCGCCGUGGUCGCUGCGAGGAGGUCGAGCUGGAACCCCACGGGCUUGGUCUGGAUCCAACCGUGUCGGGAGCACCAUGGCCUCCCUUCUCGAUAUGGGGGAAGGGAAGGGAAGGGAAGGGAGAGGAGGGGAGGUCGCCGGUGCGAAGAGGGCGGAGGCCGGCGGUGGGGUCGCGGAGUCGCCGAUGCAGCCGGGGUCGAGGGGGAUUUUGAGCACGCUCACCUAA
rnacentral:rRNA from 1 species